GAUGAACGCUGGCGGCGUGCCUAAUACAUGCAAGUCGAACGCAUAGCGAAAGGUGCUUGCACCUUUCAAGAGAGUGGCGAACGGGUGAGUAACACGUGGACAACCUGCCUCAAGGCUGGGGAUAACAUUUGGAAACAGAUGCUAAUACCGAAUAAAACUUAGUGUCGCAUGACACAAAGUUAAAAGGCGCUUCGGCGUCACCUAGAGAUGGAUCCGCGGUGCAUUAGUUAGUUGGUGGGGUAAAGGCCUACCAAGACAAUGAUGCAUAGCCGAGUUGAGAGACUGAUCGGCCACAUUGGGACUGAGACACGGCCCAAACUCCUACGGGAGGCUGCAGUAGGGAAUCUUCCACAAUGGGCGAAAGCCUGAUGGAGCAACGCCGCGUGUGUGAUGAAGGCUUUCGGGUCGUAAAGCACUGUUGUAUGGGAAGAACAGCUAGAAUAGGAAAUGAUUUUAGUUUGACGGUACCAUACCAGAAAGGGACGGCUAAAUACGUG
rnacentral:rRNA from 1 species